CCUACGGGAGGCAGCAGUGAGGAAUAUUGGUCAAUGGACGAGAGUCUGAACCAGCCAAGUAGCGUGAAGGAUGACUGCCCUAUGGGUUGUAAACUUCUUUUAUAUGGGAAUAAAAUGUUCCACGUGUGGGAUUUUGUAUGUACCAUAUGAAUAAGGAUCGGCUAACUCCGUGCCAGCAGCCGCGGUAAUACGGAGGGUCCGAGCGUUAUCCGGAUUUAUUGGGUUUAAAGGGAGCGUAGGUGGAUUGUUAAGUCAGUUGUGAAAGUUUGCGGCUCAACCGUAAAAUUGCAGUUGACACUGGCAGGCUUGAGUACAGUAGAGGUGGGCGGAAUUCGUGGUGUAGCGGUGAAAUGCUUAGAUAUCACGAAGAACUCCGAUUGCGAAGGCAGCUCACUGGACUGCAACUGACGCUGAGGCUCGAAAGUGUGGGUAUCAAACAGGAUUAGAUACCCGGGUAGUC
rnacentral:rRNA from 1 species